AAGGAGACAUAACUAAAAGAGGGUUUUGACAUGAGAUUAAAGAUUAAAAGGGUCCAAUGCCCAAAUUAGCAAUGAAUGAUUGUCUUUCAUUUCUAAUGGCUCAAUUAAAAUGGUUUUAAUUGGAUUGAUAAGCACGUAAUUAAAUUGACACAACCUCCCCGAGUUUAUAUUCAACAAUGAUGGCUCGUUGUUGCAAUAACCUAAUAAGUCCAUAGUCAUCCAAGAGCCUAAGAUAACUAUAAAGUCCAAUUUCAAAGGAAUGCAAAAACCAUAGUAGUAGUAGUUACUUCCAAUAUUUGAAAAAUUUGUUUUUGAUAUUGAUUUGUUUUUUCUCAAAACAAAUAGUGGGAGUAUCAUACGCUACUAGACUAUAAUGAAUACAAUUAGUAGUUAUAUAAAUAUCUCCAAUAUUUUGAAAAAUGUUUUGAUAUUGAUUUGUUUUAUGAAAACGAAUAGUGGGGAUAUUAUAUGCUACUAAAUUCAUUAACUUUGGACUAGUAGUUAUAAUAGGACAAUUUAUUUGAUUGUGAUUAAAUAAAUAAAAUUGAUGAGACCUUAAAAUCCCUCAACCAAACAAUAUUAAGUUGUAAGCGUAAAAGUGCUUAGAACACUUUUUCGUGGCCUUCCACCGUGGUAGGCUCCAAGCGUUUAUGACUUGUACACCGCCUU
rnacentral:lncRNA from 1 species